AAAUUGAAGAGUUUGAUCAUGGCUCAGAUUGAACGCUGGCGGCAGGCCUAACACAUGCAAGUCGAGCGGUAGCACAGAGAGCUUGCUCUCGGGUGACGAGCGGCGGACGGGUGAGUAAUGUCUGGGAAACUGCCUGAUGGAGGGGGAUAACUACUGGAAACGGUAGCUAAUACCGCAUAAUGUCGCAAGACCAAAGUGGGGGACCUUCGGGCCUCAUGCCAUCAGAUGUGCCCAGAUGGGAUUAGCUAGUAGGUGGGGUAAUGGCUCACCUAGGCGACGAUCCCUAGCUGGUCUGAGAGGAUGACCAGCCACACUGGAACUGAGACACGGUCCAGACUCCUACGGGAGGCAGCAGUGGGGAAUAUUGCACAAUGGGCGCAAGCCUGAUGCAGCCAUGCCGCGUGUGUGAAGAAGGCCUUCGGGUUGUAAAGCACUUUCAGCGGGGAGGAAGGCGAUAAGGUUAAUAACCUUGGCGAUUGACGUUACCCGCAGAAGAAGCACCGGCUAACUCCGUGCCAGCAGCCGCGGUAAUACGGAGGGUGCAAGCGUUAAUCGGAAUUACUGGGCGUAAAGCGCACGCAGGCGGUCUGUCAAGUCGGAUGUGAAAUCCCCGGGCUCAACCUGGGAACUGCAUUCGAAACUGGCAGGCUAGAGUCUUGUAGAGGGGGGUAGAAUUCCAGGUGUAGCGGUGAAAUGCGUAGAGAUCUGGAGGAAUACCGGUGGCGAAGGCGGCCCCCUGGACAAAGACUGACGCUCAGGUGCGAAAGCGUGGGGAGCAAACAGGAUUAGAUACCCUGGUAGUCCACGCCGUAAACGAUGUCGAUUUGGAGGUUGUGCCCUUGAGGCGUGGCUUCCGGAGCUAACGCGUUAAAUCGACCGCCUGGGGAGUACGGCCGCAAGGUUAAAACUCAAAUGAAUUGACGGGGGCCCGCACAAGCGGUGGAGCAUGUGGUUUAAUUCGAUGCAACGCGAAGAACCUUACCUGGUCUUGACAUCCACAGAACUUAGCAGAGAUGCUUUGGUGCCUUCGGGAACUGUGAGACAGGUGCUGCAUGGCUGUCGUCAGCUCGUGUUGUGAAAUGUUGGGUUAAGUCCCGCAACGAGCGCAACCCUUAUCCUUUGUUGCCAGCGGUUCGGCCGGGAACUCAAAGGAGACUGCCAGUGAUAAACUGGAGGAAGGUGGGGAUGACGUCAAGUCAUCAUGGCCCUUACGACCAGGGCUACACACGUGCUACAAUGGCAUAUACAAAGAGAAGCGACCUCGCGAGAGCAAGCGGACCUCAUAAAGUAUGUCGUAGUCCGGAUUGGAGUCUGCAACUCGACUCCAUGAAGUCGGAAUCGCUAGUAAUCGUAGAUCAGAAUGCUACGGUGAAUACGUUCCCGGGCCUUGUACACACCGCCCGUCACACCAUGGGAGUGGGUUGCAAAAGAAGUAGGUAGCUUAACCUUCGGGAGGGCGCUUACCACUUUGUGAUUCAUGACUGGGGUGAAGUCGUAACAAGGUAACCGUAGGGGAACCUGCGGUUGGAUCACCUCCUUA
rnacentral:rRNA from 1 species